rnacentral:lncRNA from 1 species
ACGUUAUGAUUUAUUGUUUAUGGUUAAAACUUAAACAAAAGAGUCACUUAGGUAUUAAAAACAAAUGUUUUGUUUCUCUUGGGCCUUUUUUUAAUCCAAACAAGCAUAACUAAUUAUGAAGAAUAACUUUAUUAUCUCUCUUGAUUGUUAAGGAUAAUAUCCAAAAUUAAACAUAGAUUUAAUAGAAAUAUCGAAAGUGUCAGCGAAACAAGAAGAUUUGCUUUUCACAGCCUAAGCGAAUCCACAGUGGAUAUGAUUUCCUUCGUUUAAUGGUUCAACUCCACCGUAUUCUCUGCACUUUGACAGAAAGAGGAUGUUUC